AACUGUGCGGCACUGUGCCACGGGACCCUGGUCUUUGAAACCUUGGCGUGCGCGAGAAUUUCCCAGUGAGUUUGUUAAAAUGCAGAUUCCUCGGGUCUGCGUAGACAGACUGUGCCCCACGCUUUUCUAAGUCAGUUGUUUCUCGGGCUACCCUUUAAGAGACACUGCUGGAUGGCCUGGUGAAGAAAAUACAGAAACAGAUGGGUACAAGAACUAAGAAAACGGCUAAGAAAGUGUUUUGGUCCUGACUACUACCAUUUCGCUCUGUGAUUUGGGGCAAUUCACAUUGCCCUUUCUUCUUUGUCAAAAGACAAAAUCACAACAAACUUAGUUCAAAGAUUUUUUUUUUCUUAAGAGACGGACUCUGGCAAUGUUGCCCAGGCUGGAAGGCAGUGGCUAUUCACAGGUGCGGUCAUAGCAAUCAUGGCUAUCACAGGUGCAUCCUGGAACUCCUGGCCUCAAGUGAUCCUUCUGCCUCAGCCUCCGGAGUAGCUGGGACUUAAGGUGCGAUUCUAUAGAAUUGGGCAGUGCCUCAUACUAUAAAAUAUAAUGGUUGUUCCAAUGAGCUGAACAGGAGAACUUGGUUUUAUAGACAGAAAAGGACUGAGGAAAACAGGAACAGAGAACAAAAAGCGGAUUGGUCAUUUGGUAUGACAGAGCCAAAACUCCAAGUCAUGUCAGUAGGGCAUGCCCAAUAGAAAAUGCUUUGACAUCUAACAACACCCAGAACCAAUGAUUCCUCCCUGUGGUACCAAGAAGACCUAGACAUGAUCGGAACCUAAAUGCUGGAACUCUUUCAGGAGCAAAGGGUCUGUUGACCAGAAAGAUCCAGGGGUAAAAUCCACCUCAACAUACCC
rnacentral:lncRNA from 1 species